UCUUAAGGAUGAGCAAGGAAAGUGGUUUGAGAUGGAAUCUACUCCUAGUGAAGAUGCUGUGAA
rnacentral:pre_miRNA from 1 species